AUUGAACGCUGGCGGCAGGCUUAACACAUGCAAGUCGAGCGAGCGGCGGACGGGAGAGUUAUGUAUGGAAAUCUCGCUUAUGGAGGGGGAUAACUACGGGAAACUGUAGCUAAUCCCGCGUACUAUAGGGUGCGCCCAUGUGGGAGGAGGUAGUUGGUGGGGUAAAGGCUCACCUAGGCGACGAUCUAUAGCUGGUGUGAGAGGAUGAUCAGCCACAUUGGGACUGAGACACGGCCCAGACUCCUACGUGAGGCAGCAGUGGGGAAUAUUGCACAAUGGGCGCAAGCCUGAUGCAGCCAUGCCGCGUGUAUGAAGAAGGCCUUAGGGUUGUAAAGUACUUUUAGCAGGGAAGCGUUACCCGCAGAAGAAGCACCGGCUAACUCCGUGCCAGCCGCCGCGGUAAUUC
rnacentral:rRNA from 1 species